rnacentral:rRNA from 1 species
CGCUGGCGGCGCGUUUUAAGCAUGCAAGUCGAACGGUAGAGAAGUGCUUGCACUUCUUGAGAGUGGCGAACGGGUGAGUAACACGUAGGUGAUCUACCGCAGGGGUUGGGGAUAGCCCAUGGAAACAUGGGGUAAUACCGAAUACGCUCAUUUGGCUGUGGCCGGAUGAGGAAAGGCGCUUCGGCGUCGCCCUGCGAUGAGCCUGCGCCCCAUUAGCUAGUUGGUAGGGUAAAGGCCUACCAAGGCGACGAUGGGUAGCCGGCCUGAGAGGGUGAUCGGCCACACUGGGACUGAGAUACGGCCCAGACUCCUACGGGAGGCAGCAGCUAAGAAUCUUCCGCAAUGGACGAAAGUCUGACGGAGCGACGCCGCGUGGGUGAAGAAGGCCGGAAGGUUGUAAAGCCCUUUUCUCGUUGAGGAAUAAGCACAGGAGGGAAUGCCUGUGCGAUGACGGUAGGCGAGGAAUAAGUCCCGGCCAAUUACGUGCCAGCAGCCGCGGUAACACAUAUGGGACGAGCGUUGUUCGGAAUCAUUGGGCGUAAAGGGCGCGUAGGCGGCGAGGUAAGCCUGGUGUGAAAGACCGCAGCUUAACUGCGGAACCGCGCUAGGAACUGCUUUGCUUGAGUUCAGGAGGGGGAGCUGGAAUUCCAGGUGUAGGGGUGAAAUCUGUAGAUAUCUGGAAGAACACCGGCGGCGAAGGCGAGCUCCUGGCCAUGAACUGACGCUGAGGCGCGAAAGCGUGGGGAGCGAACAGGAUUAGAUACCCUGGUAGUCCACGCUGUAAACGAUGUGCACUAGGUGUUGGGCCACGAAGGUUCAGUGCCGGAGUCAACGCGUUAAGUGCACCGCCUGGGGAGUAUGCUCGCAAGGGUGAAACUCAAAGGAAUUGACGGGGGCCCCGCACAAGCGGUGGAGCAUGUGGUUUAAUUCGAUGAUACGCGAGGAACCUUACCAGGGUUUGACAUAUGCCGGAAUGUGCAGGAGACUGCGCAGCCAUUCGGGGCCGGUAUACAGGUGCUGCAUG